rnacentral:rRNA from 1 species
CCUACGGGUGGCAGCAGUGAGGAAUAUUGGUCAAUGGCCGGAAGGCUGAACCAGCCAAGCCGCGUGAGGGAGGAAGGCGCAGAGCGUCGCAGACCUCUUUUGCCGGGGGACAAAAGGCCGGACUCGUCCGGUCCUGAGGGUCCCCGGAGAAAAAGCAUCGGCUAACUCCGUGCCAGCAGCUGCGGUAAUACGGAGGAUGCGGGCGUUAGCCGGAUUCAUGGGGUUUAAGGGGUGCGAAGGCGGGCCUUUAAGCCGGCGGUGAAAUCGCGGGGCUAAACCCGGCCGAGCCGUCGGAACUGGGGGCCUCGAGUGCGGCGGAGGCAUGCGGAAUGCGCGGUGUAGCGGUGAAAUGCAUAGAUAUCGGGCAGAACCCCGAUUGCGAAGGCAGCGUGCCUUGCCGCAACUGACGCUGAGGCACGAAAGCGCGGGGAUCGAACAGGAUUAGAUACCCGUGUAGUC